CUGGGAGAAGAUAACCUGACUCUGGACUUCAAGUUUCAAAGGGAGCAGAUCUGACUGACCAUGAUUCUUAGAUGUUCAGCCCUGGGUGGGGGCAUUGGAUUACCAAGAUGGAAAUUUGACAACUGGCCUACAUCACUCAAGCAAGGACUGGAAAAAUAUUUUACAAGCU
rnacentral:lncRNA from 14 species